rnacentral:rRNA from 1 species
UACAAUUGAGACAGGUGGUGCAUGGUUGUCGUCAGCUCGUGUCGUGAGAUGUUGGGUUAAGUCCCGCAACGAGCGCAACCCUUGUGUUUUAGUUGCAAACAGGUCAAGCUGUGCACUCUAGACAGACUGCCGUGGACAACACGGAGGAAGGUGGGGAUGACGUCAAAUCAUCAUGCCCCUUAUGAUCUGGGCUACACACGUGCUACAAUGGCCGGUACAACGGGCAGCGAAGGAGCGAUCCGGAGCGAAUCCUAAAAAAGCCGGUCCCAGUUCGGAUUGCAGGCUGAAACUCGCCUACAUGAAGUUGGAGUUGCUAGUAAUCGCGAAUCAGAAUGUCGCGGUGAAUGCGUUCCCGGGUCUU